AAAAGUGCGACAAGGCACAAAAUCCUUCUACUAAAAAUGAUCAAGUGAUGGAGUCAAGGACCCGAGCGAGAAGAAAAGAAGUUACCAGGGGCAAGCUAAAGAAGAGAAGGGAUCUUCUUGUGAAGAAAGAAGAAAGCAGGAGGGUCAAUGUGAAAAUGUCCAGACUAGCCGUGAGGGGAUCAAAAUCCCUAGCACGCCUCCAUUCCCCAUCGGGCCUGGCUACUCAUCUCUCUCCCUCACCCCUCCUUCUCCACCUCCGGCCGCCACCACGGCCAGGCCGGCGUGGUGGUGCGCCUCCGCACCAUCAGCACACCCACCACAAACAUCCACCACUCACCACCAACUUCAUCCACCAGCGCCACCAUCUCCAGCCACCGCCGCACCUCGCGCGCUCGACCAGACAAGGGCGAGCACGGGCGUCUGGUCCGCCGCGUGACCUCUCCCUCUCCGCCGAUCCUCUCUUCCUGAUGCCCCUGCUGCUCCUUCUCUUUGCGCCUCCUUGCUGAUGCCUUCUCUGAACUGCUGCUGCCUCUGCUUCCUGAACCUGCUGCUGCUUGCCCUCAACCCUCUCUGCUGCUUCCCUCUCCCUGGUGCCUUGUGCGACUCCUCUCUCAACUCUCAUUUCUGUUGCUCAUUCUUCUUCUCUCAACCUGCUACUGCUGCUCUCUUCUUGCCCACGCCUCUUGCUGCUGUCUUCUUCUCUGAACCCAAACUGCUGCUGCUUCUUCUCUCUUUACUUCUUGCAAAAUUCUGUAAACUGCUAGGUGAACUUGUGUACUGUUUCGUACUUGUAGCUAUAGUGCACAUUUAAUAUUUGGUCUAUGUGAUUUUGCUUUCCAAGUUAGUAAUCUGCUAGCUUGUGUUUGUGUUCAACCUUGUGAACUUGUUCCAUUUUGUAGUCCUUGUGUUAACUCAAGUACAUGGGAUAUAUAUAAAUAUGUGUUUGUCUGUGAUGUGAUACAUAUAUAUUCUGUCCUACAACUUUGUCUCUUCCCUCUAUUACAUGUUUGAUAGUUAUACGUGCUCUUGUCUAGCAGCUUUUCCUAAUAUUGAUUCUCGUUUGUUGUUAGUGUUUUAGAUUCUCAUGUAUAAUGAAAAUACCAAAAAGAUAUUGAGUAAAAUCUGAAUCUACCUUUGCUUAUUCGCAUUUUCAUUGGCGACAAUCUUGAUAGUUUAUGUUUAUUUUCUCUUCCCAUCAUCUGAAUUGUAUUACCUAGAUUUAGCCGAAUAUAGUUACCGUCACCUAGUCCCUGAGGAGAACACGACACUCGCAGUUUGGGCGAAAAACCCCACUGUACUUACACUCGAUCAUUUUGGCGCCGUUGCCGGGGACUAGCGUCGAACGAUUGUGUGAAGCUAUAGACUAGGCUUAGUAUAGUUUUUUGUUUAAAUUUCUAGUCAAAUUUAUUUCUAUGCUUCUUUUACCUUUUUACUUUUUGUUGCUUCGGCUUAUUAGGAUACUAACUUUCUGACUAGUGUUUACUAUUUAUGAGUGUUCGUAGGAAAUCUGAACUAAUUGCAGGUUGUUCUAUAGUUACACUCGGUUAAGAUGGCAUUGCUUCGUGAUCUUUGGAUGCCUAAAAGUCAAUGCUAUAUCACAGGACCGGUUUGGCCAACUAUUGAGGCAGAGAACUUCGAGCUGAAACCUAGUCUUAUUGCUUUGGUUCAACAACAAUAGUUUGGAGGUCUGCCUACUGAAGACCCUUAUGAGCACUUGCUCCGAGUCAUGGAGUAUUCAGAUACAGUAAAGUAUCAUGGAGUUCCUCAAGAUGUUAUCAAGUGCAUGCUGUUCACAUUCUCUCUCCGAGAUGAUGCUCGUGCUUGGUAUCGAUCCUUGCCAUCAAGAUCAUUCGGUUGGAAUGAGAUAUCACGAGCUUUCUUGGAUAGAUAUUUCCCACUACACAUGCAGUCUGCGAUUCGAGAUGAGAUCUUCAAUUUUGUUCAGCGUGAAUACGAGAGCUUGUAUGAUGCUUGGGAGAGAUACAAGGCUUUAUUCAGGAGAUGUCCUAACCACGGGCUCGAGAGAUGGUUAGAGUUGCAGAUAUUCUAUAGAGGAUUGACUUCGGACACUCGAGCUUACGUCGAUAUGGCAGCGGGUGGAGCUAUUACAAACAAGACACUUGAUGAAGCUUUUCUGUUGAUUGAGAGCAUAGCUUUCCACCAACUUCAGUGGUACAAUAAGAAGCCCAGGUCUUAUUCAUUGGUUUGCUUGCAACAAAUCACUACACCUCAGCCACAAAUUCUUACACAGAAGUCGGAACCAGUUUCUUCGUGUAACAAGAUUGAGCUUUCAUGGAUUAUCUUUGAUGAUGAUGACACCAUCGUAGUUGACACACACACUUAAGAUCAUAUGGAUACUAGUGUUGGAGAUUUAGUUUUGCAUUGUGAUGAUUCUUCCAUGGAUGAGCCAGAGCUGCAGUUAGUUGUUUUUUAUAUUGAGGAGUCACCUUUAGUUGAUAUUGAUCAUGUGCUGCUAGAGCCAGAUAUGGAGAAGUUCACCUUCAAUGAUGUUAGCCGCAUUGAUUCCUCGACACUUGAGCCUGAGAUGGAGAGCUUCAUCGUUAAUUAUGAUGAGGUGGAUUCAGAUGUCAAGGAGCCAAGCUCUACUAUUUCACUUGUUGACAUGAGUCCAGUGGAAAUUUCUACUACCACACCUCACUUGGUAUCUUCAAUUGAGGUAGUCAUGAAGCUUCUUCCCAAGUAUCUCAGGUAUGAUAUCAGCUUUCUCGACAAGAUAUGCCAUAUCAUGGAUACUGCCUAUGCACCAAGCGAUUUAUUGAUGAUAUCUAUUUAUCAUAUGCUCAAUAGAUAUGCUUAUGUGAUAGGAUACUCUAUUGAUGACUUAGAGGGCAUUAUCCCUAUCAUUUGUAUUGGCUUGUUUGUUGAGUGUUCUUUCAGGUUUACGCUUGUGCACCAUUCAUUGUGGGCUGACCAAGUUCGAGAUGACAUCCCAUGGGAUCCUGGUGGAUUCACGGCAUGGUGAUGAGGAGAACCAAUGUGCACACGCGAAGAAGAAUGAAGCUGGAGCAGGCAUGGGGAUAGAGAAGCAAAAAGAGAAGAGCUGCAGUUUAGAGAGUGUUGAGCGAGUGCUACUUCCUAUAUAAACCCGGUGAGUUGUUUCAUGUCCCCAAUCUGAAUAUAUCAUCCAUUGAUACAUGCUAAAAUCAAUUGCUAUUUGGGUUGCUUGAGCCAUUUCUUAAACGUUGUCCCACUGAAUUUUACCUUUGACAUAUGGUGCUUGAUGUGAAUAUGUAAACUGAUUUGUGGAUGCCUUGUAAACUAGUGAUCUACAUACUGCUUGCUUUGCUGAAAUUAGUGAAAGUUAUUAGUUGUGAGUGCUCAAAUCCCUAGUACACUAGAAAACUUCAUCAUUUUCUGCAUUUACUUGGAUACACCUAGAUCAUCAAUUGUUAGAUGCUGAUUUUGUGCCAAGUGUGUUCCCCUUCAGAGCAAUCAUUCACCACUAUGGACUAGCAUACUAUGUUCCCUGGAUCGGUAGUAUGUGAACCAUGCCUGGAUGAGUGAUGAUUCUUGUUUCCUUUUUGUAUUCAUUUGUUAAAAAGGUAAUAAUGAAUAAAUAAUUCUGACUACCUACAUUAGCAUGUCAUGUUCCCUGGAUCGGUGGCAUGUGAAAUCGGGUUAGCUUGGGCAGUAAUUAAUAAUAAAAAUGUAAUUGUCGAACCAGGUGUCUACCAUGUUCACGGGAUCGGUGGUAUGUUCCUUUGGGGAGACAAACAAAAAAACUAAUAAUUGGUCGAGCCAGGUGUAUACCAUGUUCUCGGGAUCGGUGGUAUGUUCUUUUGGUGAGAUCGAUAAAAUAUUAUCAUUACUUCCUUCAAAUUCAAUAAGUGCUUCAACCAUAAUGUUAUGUUCCGGGUAAUAAGUUUUUUUUUGGGAUCAUGCUCUCUUUAGGAACCCUUUCGCACAAUCAGCAUUUGAACUUGUUGAUCCACUUUUAUCUUUGUAAAAGUUUAAAAUGAUUGAGUUUACUAGUGUCCUAUUGACAUGUAGCACUGUUAACCAUUAAUUUUCACUAGCCAAGUCCAAAGCAUACACUGUUUAGAGAUCUACUUCACUUGACAUUCUCUAGUCAGUUCACUGUUCAUGUUCUUGCUCUUGUCAUAUGCCCUUGCUUGAGGACAAGCAAAGAUUUAAGUGUGGGGGAACUUGAUAAGCACAUUUCUUAUACAUAAUUUUGGCAUACAAAUAUACCAUUUGUUGAGUUCUGACCACCAAUUCUUGUUUUAAAUAUAGAAUAAUUGAAUGAAAAUCAUAUAAAAGGAUUGUUGACUAGUCACUUGUUUAUUUUGCAGAAAAGUGCGACAAGGCACAAAAUCCUUCUACUACAAAUGAUCAAGUGAUGGAGUCAAGGACCCGAGCGAGAAGAAAAGAAGUUACCAGGGGCAAGCUAAAGAAGAGAAGGGAUCUUCUUGUGAAGAAAGAAGAAAGCAGGAGGGUCAAUGUGAAAAUGUCCAGAUCAGGCGUGAGGGGAUCAAAAUCCCUAGCACGCCUCCAUUCCCCAUCGGGCCUGGCUACUCAUCUCUCUCCCUCACCCCUCCUUCUCCACCUCCGGCCGCCACCACGGCCAGGCCGGCGUGGUGGUGCGCCUCCUCACCAUCAGCACACCCACCACAAACAUCCACCUCUCACCACCAACUUCAUCCACCAGCGCCACCAUCUCCAGCCACCACCGCACAUCGCGCGCCCGACCAGACAAGGGCAAGCACGGGCAUCUGGUCCUCCACGUGACCUCUCCCUCUCCGUCGAUCCUCUCUUCCUAAUGCCCCUGCUGCUCCUUCUCUUUUGCGCCUCCUUGCUGAUGCCUUCUCUUAACUGCUGCUGCCUCUGCUUCCUGAACAUGCUGCUGCUCGCCCUCAACCCUCUCUGCUGCUUCUCUCUCCCUAGUGCCUUGUGCGACUCCUCUCUCAACUCUCAUUUCUGCUGCUCAUUCUCCUUCUCUCAACCUGCUACUGCUGCUCUCUUCUUGCCCACGCCUCUUGCUGCUGUCUUCUUCUCUGAACCCGAACUGCUGCUGCUUCUCUUCUCUCUUUACUUCUUGCAAAAUUCUAUAAACUGCUAGGUGAACUUGUGUACUGUUUCGUACUUGUAGCUAUAGUGCACAUUUAAUAUUUGGUCUAUGUGAUUUUGCUUUCCAAGUUAGUAAUCUGCUAGCUUCUGUUUGUGUUCAACCUUGUGAACUUGUUCCAUUUUGUAGUCCUUGUGUUAGCUCAAGUACAUGGGAAUAUAUAUAAAUAUGUGUUUGUCUGUGAUGUGAUACAUAUAUAUUCUGUCCUACAACCUUGUCUCUUCCCUCUAUUACAUGUUUGAUAGUUAUACGUGCUCUUGUCUAGCAGCUUUCCCUAAUAUUGAUUCUCGCUUGUUGUUAGUGUUUUAGAUUCUCAUGUGUAAUGAAAAUACCAAAAAGAUUUUGAGUAAAAUCUGAAUCUACCUUUGCUUAUUCGCAUUUUCAUUGGCUACAAUCUUGAUAGUUUAGGUUUAUUUUCUCUUCCCAUCAUAUGAAUUUUAUUACCUAGCUUUAGCCGAAUAUAGUUGCCGUCGCCUAGUCCCUGAGCAGAACACGACCCUCGCAGUUUGGGUGAAAAACCGCACUGUACUUACACUCAAUCAUUAUUUUAGUACGAACUCUUGAAUAGAUCGAACGGAAAGAAUAGCUUUGAGGUGGUUUCGUACCCUACAAACAAUUUAUUCUUAUGUUCUCCGCUAGAUAGGAACUUUGGAGUGAUUCUUCAUCACACUUUGAGGGGUGGUUAUAUGAUCCAAUUAUAUUAGCAUUGUUGAGAGAUUGCAUUAGCGAAAGUACGGACCCUAAGCCUCAUUUUCAAGCAUUGCAAUACCAUUUUUGUGCCCGUUUACUAUUUGCUACCUUGCUGUUUUUAUUUAUUCAGAUUAUGAAAAUAUAUUUCUACCAUCAAUAUUACACUUUUAUCACCAUCUCUUCGCCGAAAUAGUGCACCUAUACAAUUUUCCAUUGUAUUGGUUGUAUUG
rnacentral:lncRNA from 1 species